UGAACAAAUUAUUAAAAAAGCAGAACAACAAAUUAUUGAUGAGCAAUAUGAUGAGGAAGGAGCUAAAGAAUUUGAUGAGAAGUUAAUGCGACAUUUAGAAGUGAGCGACGAUCAACCAGUGGUUAUUAGCCAGCGGUUAAUAAAUAGUUUUGAAGAUAUAUUGCAGAGUCCUAUAAGUUUGGAAACUGCUGUAUGCUGUUUACGAAGUCUCUUUCAUAUGACAGUUACUCUGGAAAAAUGUAAUUGUUUCGAAAACAUACAAUUUAUCACCA